rnacentral:rRNA from 1 species
UACGUAGGGUGCAAGCGUUGUCCGGAAUUAUUGGGCGUAAAGAGCUCGUAGGUGGCCUGUCGCGUCGGCUGUGAAACUCGGGGCUCAACUCCGAGCUUGCAGUCGAUACGGGCAGGCUAGAGUUCGGCAGGGGGAGACUGGAAUUCCUGGUGUAGCGGUGAAAUGCGCAGAUAUCAGGAGGAACACCGGUGGCGAAGGCGGGUCUCUGGGCCGAUACUGACACUGAGGAGCGAAAGCGUGGGGAGCGAACAGG